GACGAACGCUGGCGGCGUGCUUAACACAUGCAAGUCGAACGGAAAGGCCCUGCUUUUGUGGGGUGCUCGAGUGGCGAACGGGUGAGUAACACGUGAGUAACCUGCCCUUGACUUUGGGAUAACUUCAGGAAACUGGGGCUAAUACCGGAUAGGAGCUCCUGCUGCAUGGUGGGGGUUGGAAAGUUUCGGCGGUUGGGGAUGGACUCGCGGCUUAUCAGCUUGUUGGUGGGGUAGUGGCUUACCAAGGCUUUGACGGGUAGCCGGCCUGAGAGGGUGACCGGGAGAAGGGGGAGAGAGGUAAGGACUGGCGGGCGAAGGGAGGCAGAGGUGGAGAGUAUGGGAGACGGGGCGGGGGUAUGAGGAAGGAGUGGAGUGGGCGGGAGGAGGGGGUGAGGGUUGUAAAGAGGGUUCGCCGGUGAAGAAGCGGGAGUGGGGGGGAGGGGUAAAGAGGGAAGGGAUAAGUCCGGG
rnacentral:rRNA from 1 species